AUGGAUCCAAGCGUCCUGUUUUAUGUUCCCCCUUUAAGCGACCGUGACUAAUGAAGACAGCCCUAUUCAGCAUGCAGCCAAAGAUCAGGAAGGAAAGAGGAGAUGUGCAGAAUGAAGGAAAAGAGGUAGCCUGUGAUCUCUUGACAAAAGGGGAAUGAUCAUUCAUGGAGUCAAAAUGGAGCAGGAGUGUGUCUGUAAAGGCAGAGAGAUGGGAGAGAUGGAGGGAAAGGAACUGGGCAGGCAAGAGGCAAAGAUGAAGUCCUUCAAAAAGGCUAGUGAAAAUCAAGUCCUCCUAGAUAUGAUUAAUUCUGCACUCCACAAGAGUGAAACUAUUCCCCCCUGCCAUUUCUGUGACAGGCACUCCCAGAGGCCCCAUCACUGCUAAAGCUCCAUUAUCUGAGGCACUGCGCUGAUACAUAAAUGACAUGGUCCCUGCAAUAAGGGCCUUACAGUUUAACAUGAGCCAAAAUGCAAUAAAGGAAUGUAAUAUACAGAAUAAAGGACCAGGAGAGGAAGGACAGCCAAAACCUUGCAAGCCUGCAUUGCAGCCUGUGUGUGUUACGCAACUUCACAGUUAUAAUCAUGUAGCUAAUACAACAAUAAUGUUCAUACACAGUAGCGACCCACCCUCCAUCUCAGGCACUUCUAUUUCUUUUUUUUUUCCCCUUGAAGAACCAAGAAAAAUCACACACACUUUUAACCUUUUGCCCAAAUAGCUGUUGGUGGUAGUAGUUAGGGCAGCAGGCUAACACAGUAAUAGCUGGAGCAAAAGGCAUAUGAGCCGCUGGAGGUCACAGCCCUUUGACUUGUAACAUCUUGUGAGAGCUGGACAUGUACAAGCUUCCCUCUGACCCGAAGUGGAAUUGCCUAUGUCUGUCCCUGCUCAGCCCCUGCACUGCCUCGCAUGGUUUCAGUGUGAGUCUUUGUAAGUGAGCUGGAUGCAGAAGUUAUUUUUCAGCUGGAUCAGUUCUCCCAGCUCCCAGUGAAGGCAUAGAAAUACCCUGGCCAGCCAGUGUGGGAAGGAGCACCAGGGCCAGGCAGAGGGACAGUGGGGCUUACACAAGCUGCUGGAGGCCUUAGGUUCCAAAAGCAAAGUAUUUGCCUCAGCUGCGCUUCUGCAAAGCAGGUGGUUUUACUAUUAGGUGCUCAAAUUUAGACACGGUUUCAGUUUCCUAGGAUGGCAUGCACUAAGUCAGCAGCUCACCUCCACCAAAAUGAGGAGGCCCUUUUCCCAGCCAUGCAAUCCCAUCAUCUUUUUUAUCAGCUCUGCUACCUGUGAAUAAAUGAAGCCCUUCACUCACCACUGCUGUUCACUGACCAAGCAGAAACAUGACCCAGAAGAAAACAGCUGCCUGAUAUUUUCUCUGCUGGGUUAGUGAGUUGAAUCAGCUUACAGGCAAGUUCAUGAAGCUCCAGAGCUACCCUAAGUGAGACAGCAGGGUCUUUGGCUAGGAAGAGGUCUGGGUUAGAGGAGAAAGAAAAGGAGGAGAAAGAACAAGACUUCCCCCUCAUGGCAAGAGCAAGCCAUCAGAUAUGCUUAGGUGCUUAUAACUGCAACUUUAGAGGUCAAUUUACCUGUGUUAUCCCAGGAUACACAAACUGCGUGGGAACAGGCAGCUCUGCAGUUUGCUGCAAUCCCUAAAUUCAUUCCCAUUCCCAUUUUAUAUAAUACUAGUGUGGUCCUAGUUCCAUGUAUCUUAUUCAUGUAGAAAUACUCAUUAAAGAAGUUUAAGUAACUGGGGGAAAAUCUGAGUUCUCAGCCUGCAGGUUUCUGUGGUUUGGGGAAACUGAAUUAUCUUUUGAAGAUAUGUUGAGGUAUAUCCCCUAAUUCUCAUUUGUGUAUAGUAUAAGCAAACCCAUUAUAAAAAAGAAUGCAACUUUAAAGUACACAAGUGUAAAUUUCCCAUGGGUAACUAAUGCAGUAAGUACCGUGGAUUUAAACAAGCCCUUCCAGUGUCCCUCACCCAUGCCAGUUUGUGUGGUUUAAUUUUCUCUAUAUCUGCAUUAAGACAGGGGAGAAGCUCAUCCUUCCUCAGCUCCCUCUCUCUGCACACUGGAAAAAACUUGGAAUAAACUGAUGUGUGUUCCUUUCUAUGUGCCAGCCCUGCAUCCCUUCUAGCCUCUCAUCCAUCUAGUGUGGACUUUGUCCUCACUUAACAGAGUGUAUUAUGACAUUGCCUGGAGCUGCUUACAAAGAUAGUAAUUACACCUCUAUAAGUACAUUGUUGGCCUGGUUUUCAAAAGGUCUGAGCAGCUCUGCUUCUUUAAGGAGCAAAAUGACCUGAGGAUACCAUCACCUUUGGAAAUCAAGCCAUUAGGGAUAGGAAGGAGAGUUUAAAGGAGGCAUGGGGGCUGGUAGGAAAGCAUUGCUUCCAUUCAAGGAGCACAUCAGUAAGAAGCUGCCACCAUCAAGAGGACAGAAUAAAUAUCCUAAUAGAACUUUAUUACAGGCCAGAAAAAUCCUGUGAAAGCCUGGAUGGCUACAUGCUGCAUCUCUGAAAUCAAUGACAAAACACAUUAUGGUUGAGGCAUGUAACAUCGUUCUGUCAAAGGAAUGGCUCCUAGCAUGGCCAAUUUAUCUGAGACGGUCAUUGUUAGUUCUGCCCCCCUGUUAAUGCCAAGGCCUUGUGUGCAAGUAAGCUAUCUUCUGACAGAAGCGCUGGGCCUAGGCUUUCUCCAAAGGACAUAAAUUUAUUAAACGAACAAAGUCAUUUCUUGUGAUGCUGCCAUCAGGGAAGCCCACUUCCAUGCUUCUUACCAAGGAGGAAGGAGAGAAGACCAAAGGAGCUGCUGUAUCUGCUGAGUAGUGCCGGGACCCACAGUCAGCCUUAGUAAAUAACCAGUCUCCAGCAUGGGGUGGGCUCCAGCGUCUUGGCUGUGGCUUCUGACUUUGCCAGCUUUGGAAUGCCUUGACUUGGCUGCGAUUACUCUUCAGCAGCAUAACUACAGGGGAGCACAGUGAGGUCUGCAGUACAUCUGCCUGGCACUUUUCCAUACACAGCUUUCCACCCAGGAAUCCUAUUGUCAUGAGAUAUUAGAUUCUUUAGGCUCAUCAAUUCCGGUGACACAAUCCAGCAAUUUAUUUUUAGACAGAGCACGCAGGUGUCCAUGGCAGCAUUUUAGCUGACAGUGCUGCAGUAUUGCUAUGCAGGAGCACUUGGUUGUUCUUUGUGUCUUGACUUGUUACUGGAAAAGGAAUGGUCUGAAUAAGACAAAGGAAAACAUUUGCACCCUUAAACUGAAUUUCACCCAUCAGACUUUCAGCAUGCUGAUGGGAAACAGGAGAAGCAAGACUAACGAUUCAUGUGCAGCAUUGAUUGUAGAUGAUGGCUGGAAAAGAGAACAAAAAUAAUAAAUUAAAACUAAUGAUUGCAACUGAUUGAGAAAAUAUUCUGGUUCAGAAAAUCACAUAAAAAUUAGUUGGGUUUAUUUUUUUUUUCCACAAGUAUUAGAAAUCUGCAUAUGAAUGAUUCAGUCAGAAAACUGGUUUGUAGUAUUGAAGAUACUGACAAUCUACAUUCAGCUAUAAACUAUUUUUUUUGCAUAACUACCUUAAAUA